UGGCGCUGAAAGCAAGGAGGAGGGGCGGUCAGAAGGCCCAAGGAGCCAAGAACAAGGUUGCCAUGGUCCCCGGUAGUUGCUACAGGCUGCUUGUCUGGUGUCCCAGCCCCUGGAGGCUGAGGCAGGAGGACUACUCCAGUUUGAGACCAGCCUGGUCUACAGAGACCCUAUUUCAAAGACAGCAACCUCAAACCCAGCCCAACCAAGUGCUGGACACUGGGGACCACAGGACACUUGCCCGCACCCUUCCUAGCCCUGUGCGGACGUCCAGUUCUGGGUGGGGCCCAGCAGUACAGGACUAGCUGCGAACUCAUUAACCUCACACAGCACAGUCCAGCUUAGAGGCCGGCGUUUAAACACGCUGGGCUCAGAGUGGAUUUUGAUGGCUUUUACAAUAUUUUUAACUCUUCCCUUUUGCACAGGAUAUCCAGAGCCCAGGUUGGUCUGACAGUUGCAGCAGCCCCCCAGCCUCAGCUUUCCGAGAGUCAGCUAGCGACAGAGGCAGGACCUGAAUUCUCCACUCAGCACAAGCCGCUCUACAACGUCAACAUUCUCUCCUGCCAUUGUCCUGGGGGGACCUGACGCAUAGUGCACAGAACCUUCAAGGCUUCUGAGGGACACACUCUGUGAACCCAGGGGACAGUGGGGAGGCAGAGGAGAACAGUGAGGGAUCUUGGGCCUGCUCUUCCUAGGGCAGCAAGUCUACAAAGCACGGCUUCAGAGCUCUCACUGGCCCAAGGGGCCACGGCCUGAACAGGCAGGCGCAGGGUCAGGCCAUGUUGGCCACAGGGUUCCAUUUCAACCCACAGUCACCCUGUCCCUGGUCCUUGGGGCUCCGGGUGUACUGGGAACUGUGUACCCGAGAGGCCAGCACCUGUGGAGCCACGGCCACUGACCUUUCUGUUCCUCCCUGCUGUGUGUACUAUGUUUACACGUACACACAUGUGAAAGCAGAGGUCAGAAUUCAACAUGGGGGUCCUUCCUCAAUCGCUCUCCACUUUCGUGGUGGAGACAGGUGUCUCACUGAGCCCCAAGCUUGCUGCUGUCUAACCAGCGUACUCUGAGGAGCCCUGUCCCUGUCUUCCCGGUGUGGGACAAGCACUUCAUCCACCAAGGUGGGUCCCCAGCCUGACCACUCACCUCUUCUUUUUUUUUUUUUUGGUUCUUUUUUUCGGAGCUGGGGACCGAACCCAGGGCCUUGCGCUUCCUAGGUAAGCGCUCUACCACUGAGCUAAAUCCCCAGCCCCCACUCACCUCUUCUUGGCCUCCUCCAGCUCUGCUUGUACUUUCCCUAUCUCAAUCUGCAGCCGGGCACGUUCACGGGCUGUCUCAUCCAGUACCCGCCGGGCAUCAGCCAGCUCUGACUCGUACAGGGUCUUGAUACCACUCACCUGGGGAGACAGGAAGGGAGUGAUGAUGAGAACACAGGACCACCUUAUGUCAACCCUAUGACACUGUCACACGGGAUCACCCUAUGCCAAUGCUACCACAUUGUCACACAGGACCACCCUAUGUCAACUCUCUGACACUGUCUUUCUGGAAGAAUCCAUCUUCCUUUUCCACAACUUAACCUGCCAGGAAGACAAGAGCAGGCCACAGAACCCUCAGGCAUAGGUAGGGAUGUGUAGCCAAGGCUAGCCCACUUGGCACCAUUGGCUAUGGGGCAUCCUUGCCACCUGUCUGCAACUGUGCAGCAGACACCAGCAUCCCACUGCUUAGUCCAGACUUCCUGUCUAAUGUGUUUUCUUUUCUCCAAAGCACCAGUAUGGAGAUGGCAGAUACCCAGUGCCCUCUCCACUGAGCCCAGCCCCACAGUGGCAAUGCUGAUCAUAUCACAGUGUGGGCGGGUGACACCUGAGUCCGCAGGGAUCAUUCCUGGGUGACCUGCAGGGUCACACUCCUGUUCCUGUCAUGGCAGUUUGGAGACCCCUUUCUGAGUCUGCCUUCCAUUGCUCAGGCCUUCUAUCUGCAUCCUAUCUCAGGGAGGAAUGGGCUGGGAGACCUGGGCCACAAGGGCCAUCUCACUGAGACACUGAAACAGCGGUUCCUGGUGUCAACCUGACCCCAUCUGGAAUGAACUACAACCCAGAAAUGGAGGCCCAUCUGUGACCAGAUCUUGAGGCUUGGUGGCCAUGAAAAGCUCACUCAGGUCAGGUGGUGCAUGCCUUUAACUCUAGGAAACAGGCAAGCUGAGUCUGAGGCCAGCCUGGGACAGAGCAUGUCCCAGAUCCAGCGUGGUGGCACACACCUUUAGUCAGGGCCACACCUUCUGCUGGAGGCCUACACAAGGACACUGGACGAGGGAAGAGCCUUCUUCCCCGGCUUGCACUCCCUUGCCAGCGCCCUGUGGGACGGAGCCUACUUCUUCAGACUCCAGCUCCUUACAGAAGAGCAGCUGAAGCGCCCAGCCGCGUGGGACCCAGCGACUGGAUCGUUAGGUUUCCCUGUCGCAGCUGCCCCGUUGUCAGGUUAGCUGGACGGCAGAAAAUCAGUCCACAAUUCCCCCUAAUCUCUAGAAACAUCCGGUAGGUUCUGUGACUCCAGAACCAGGGCCUUAUCCAGACACUGCAGGGUCACCCCACAUGGUGCUUGGCAAGGGGUCUUCAUGGAUACUCAAAUACACAGUUGCUUUUGACCUCUCCACCGACCCUGCUGGGAAGACAGUUGCCACCUGCCACUGCCUGCCGGCUGUCCCUAGCCAGGCCACACACAGCAGCUGGGCUGGAGACUCAGGUUUCUCCCAGGCCUUCCCUCAGUGUGUAGCUAUGAGCUCAAUGUGUUUAAAGACACGUGGCGACAGACCGCAGAGCAACAGAACAGACUUCACGGCCCGGACACAGAGGCCCGAGACAAGCAGGCACAAGUCUCUCCCUUGGCUGUGGAGAGCAGGUCUCCCGUCACUCCAGCACCACACUUUACAGAAGGAAGUAUGUGCACUGUGCACAGUGUCACCAGCCCCAACACCAAGGGGACAGCAGAGCACUCUCAGCAAAUGAUGGACAUAUGCUACCAUUACUGGAAUAUUACUCAGCCCUGAACAGGAGCAAGACUCUGACAUGACAGGGUGGAGGAACCUGGAAGACAGAGUGCUCAGUGAGACCCAGAUGCAAGGCCACACAGUGUGAGCUCCAGGACGGAUUUGUCCACAGUGGCUGAACCCAGACAGGAAGUAGACUGAGGUGCUGAGAGGAGGGAAGACAGGAGAAAGCCUCACUGGAAUGAACUUUCUUUCAGGGGAUAGAAUAUUCUAGAAUUGGACAAGGGUAAGAUGACACACAUCUAAUGUAGUGCCCUGAACUGCAGUGCCACUCUGGGGGUGCAUAGGCUCGACGUUUAUCAGGGCUCAGGUACCUACCUAGCAUGGGCCUGGAAGGUCAGCCAAGGCCACAGUAGAAGGGUUGCUGAGGAUCUUCUGGAGGUGGGACUCAGGCUCGGACCACUGUGUGUGUGUGUGAGAGAGAGGUGUGACACUGUGGGGAGGGUAAAGUGGGUAAGGCUCUUAUACCCAUUUUACAGACAAAGACACUGAGGCCUAGAGCAGGAAAAAGCCUCCUGCGAUCCAGCCCCACAUCAGCACAAUGGGUCUGCUAAGGAAUGCUUACUCCUGUCUCCACCACAACUGUCCUCACCCCAGGACUCAGCAAGCCCUGGUGUGGAAAGGGCCCUUGACCCUAGGAGGACACUUUGAGAUGCAACCCCACUGGGCCCCACACCCCUCACGUUGGUGCCAAAUCAACCAAGACUGCCAGCUCAUGGGGGUUGGGGAUUUGGCUCAGUGGUAGAGCACUUGCCUAGCAAGCGCAGGGCCCUGGGUUCGGUCCCCAGCUCCAAAAAAAAAAAAAAAAAAAAAAAAAGACUGCCAGCUCAGAUAAACCUUUUGUCUUCACAAGCUGGCGCACUCCAGCAUUCUGUCACAGUGACAGAAGCCAGCACUGAGGUGUAAAAAAAAAGAUGUGAGGGCAUGCAUUCACACACACAGAUACACAUGGACACCAGACAGACACCCACAUAUACAUACAGACAGACAUAUAUAGGCACGCGCACACACCACACACACACACACACACACACACACACACACACACACACACACACACACACCCUUCCCACAGGGUGCCGAUUCGCCAGGCCUGGGUGGACAGAACACAGAGACUCCUGAAGAAGACAGGAGGUGACCACGGGACUGCCCGUUGCCGGCAGCCACAGGAGGAAGGGUGGAUGGGGUGUGUGCUGACGAGAUGUACACCUGUCACCCUCUGGAGGCCCUGACUAGUGCUUGCUCUGUGGGCCCCUGGAUGGGCCCUGAGGCAGAAAGGGCACAGAAGCAGCGGGCCGUACCGUGAACCAUGGGCCUGCUCCAUACUUUGCUCCACUUGGACCCUAUGUCUGGGUCAGCCUGGUCUGUACUCGGGCUUGCAAGCCAGCUGCACCUGUUGCCUGAGCCUACCUGUGUGGAACUGCCUCGGUAUUUUAAAUAUGUAGCCCUGGCUAGGCUGGGAAUCUGUUGUGUAGACCAGGCUAGCCUUAAACACACAGAAAUCCUCUGCCUCUUGAGGCUGUGUCUAUAUUUGAAGUGGCUGGAACAGGCUGGGUGCUCCAUGGCCUGACAGUACUCACCAAUAAAGCUUUAU